rnacentral:rRNA from 1 species
UGCAGUCGAGCGGACAGAUGGGAGCUUGCUCCCUGAUGUUAGCGGCGGACGGGUGAGUAACACGUGGGUAACCUGCCUGUAAGACUGGGAUAACUCCGGGAAACCGGGACUAAUACCGGAUGGUUGUUAGAACCGCAUGGUUCAGACAUAAAAGGUGGCUUCGGCUACCACUUACAGAUGGACCCGCGGCGCAUUAGCUAGUUGGUGAGGUAACGGCUCACCAAGGCAACGAUGCGUAGCCGACCUGAGAGGGUGAUCGGCCACACUGGGACUGAGACACGGCCCAGACUCCUACGGGAGGCAGCAGUAGGGAAUCUUCCGCAAUGGACGAAAGUCUGACGGAGCAACGCCGCGUGAGUGAUGAAGGUUUUCGGAUCGUAAAGCUCUGUUGUUAGGGAAGAACAAGUGCCGUUCAAAUAGGGCGGCACCUUGACGGUACCUAACCAGAAAGCCACGGCUAACUACGUGCCAGCAGCCGCGGUAAUACGUAGGUGGCAAGCGUUGUCCGGAAUUAUUGGGCGUAAAGGGCUCGCAGGCGGUUUCUUAAGUCUGAUGUGAAAGCCCCCGGCUCAACCGGGGAGGGUCAUGGGAAACUGGGGA